CGCGUAGGCGGCCGAACCAGUCAGAUGUGAAAGCCCGGGGCUCAACCCCGGAAGUGCAUUUGAUACUGUUUGGCUUGAGUAUGGGAGAGGGAAGUGGAAUUCCUGGUGUAGAGGUGAAAUUCGUAGAUAUCAGGAGGAACACCGGUGGCGAAGGCGGCUUCCUGGACCAAUACUGACGCUGAGGCGCGAAGGCGUGGGGAGCAAACAGGAUUAGAUACCCUGGUAGUCC
rnacentral:rRNA from 1 species